GAUGAACGCUGGCGGCGUGCUUAACACAUGCAAGUCGAACGGUGAAGGCGGAGCUUGCUCUGCUGGAUCAGUGGCGAACGGGUGAGUAACACGUGAGCAAUCUGCCCCUGACUCUGGGAUAAGCGCUGGAAACGGCGUCUAAUACUGGAUACGAGCUGCGAAGGCAUCUUCAGCAGCUGGAAAGAAUUUCGGUCAGGGAUGAGCUCGCGGCCUAUCAGCUUGUUGGUGAGGUAAUGGCUCACCAAGGCGUCGACGGGUAGCCGGCCUGAGAGGGUGACCGGCAACAGUGGGAAGGAGACACGGCCGAGACUCAGCGGGGGGGAAGAGGGGGGAAAUAUGGCAGAGGGGGGGGAGGCGGAAGCAAGAAACGCGGGGGGGGGGAGGCGGCCCUGGGGUUGGAAAACCUUUUUAGGAGGGGAAGAAGAGAAAGGGGGGGACCUGGAAAAAAAGGGGCGGCCAAAGAAGGUC
rnacentral:rRNA from 1 species